rnacentral:tRNA from 1 species
GACUUCGUGGUGUAGUUGGUUAUCACGUCUGUCUAACACACAGACGGCCGCCGGUUCGAAUCCGGCCGAAGUCA